rnacentral:rRNA from 1 species
CUACGGGAUGCAGCAGUGGGGAAUAUUGCACAAUGGGCGCAAGCCUGAUGCAGCCAUGCCGCGUGUAUGAAGAAGGCCUUCGGGUUGUAAAGUACUUUCAGCGGGGAGGAAGGGAGUAAAGUUAAUACCUUUGCUCAUUGACGUUACCCGCAGAAGAAGCACCGGCUAACUCCGUGCCAGCAGCCGCGGUAAUACGGAGGGUGCAAGCGUUAAUCGGAAUUACUGGGCGUAAAGCGCCCGCAGGCGGUUUGUUAAGUCAGAUGUGAAAUCCCCGGGCUCAACCUGGGAACUGCAUCUGAUACUGGCAAGCUUGAGUCUCGUAGAGGGGGGUAGAAUUCCAGGUGUAGCGGUGAAAUGCGUAGAGAUCUGGAGGAAUACCGGUGGCGAAGGCGGCCCCCUGGACGAAGACUGACGCUCAGGUGCGAAAGCGUGGGGAGCAAACAGGAUUAGAUACCCCAGUAGUC